UGUUGCUGAAUGUGCACUUGUGAUUCGUUUGACGAUCACAUACUCCUCAUCAUCUCUGUUUUUCCUGCUCAGUUGAGAGCACGGUCGGUCCAUAGUCUUCCAUGUUACUAUAAAUAUAACACUGUUCUGAACUUUGCAUCAGUGUCACCCCAGUUUUCAAGAAAGUCGGACGUACUACAUCGAGCGCUGCAGCCAAAUACGGUGUGCCUACAGAAAUAAUACGCACUACACGACGAUUUAACACGGCGGCUCGGCAAGCUGUUAAACUGAAGAUGGGCCUACGAAUCAAUAGUUCCCUGGGAAUAGUCGUGUUCUGUCUGAUCGGCUCUUCCUGGGGGUGGGAAAGAUUCGAAGAUAUGGUUAAGUAUCCGGGCGAUCAAAUAGCCUGCAGAUUUUGGGGCUUGCAGACUCACUGGAUGCUCGCGACUGAAACGAAGAAUUGGGUAAUAAACAUUUUGCCAAAAGCAGGAGCUAGAAAGGGCAAUCCGUCCCAAGUUGAUGAAAUGCAUUAUUCGAGCAUUUCCGGAGUCAACUUUGAUAUGUGUUAUAAUUGGGGGCCAGGUCCACAGGGUGCCAAUGCUGUAACCAGAGCAAGGCAGCAUGUAAAUGAAGAUGUGUAUUACCACGUGCUUACCUGUAACUGUGAACACUACGUGAAAUACUGGGCUGGAGCAGACUAUAACUUCAAUCAAUCAGGGUCCAGGGCAUCGAAAUGGUGCUCAUUCUUUUCUUGGAAAAUGCCAGCGAUUGAAACCGCAGUCGAAUACAAUGUGGUUUCUCUUUGAAAAUUAAUUUAAAUGUUGUUUUCAUAGCUAUUAAGAAUAUUGUAGUGAAACACCUGGUAACAUCAUACAUGACAAACUGUAAACUGAUAAAAUUAAAGUGAUUUAUGUAAAAAUUCUA